UACGUAGGGUGCGAGCGUUGUCCGGAAUUAUUGGGCGUAAAGAGCUCGUAGGCGGCUUGUCACGUCGGAUGUGAAAGCCCGGGGCUUAACUCCGGGACUGCAUUCGAUACGGGCAGGCUAGAGUUCGGUAGGGGAGAGUGGAAUUCCUGGUGUAGCGGUGAAAUGCGCAGAUAUCAGGAGGAACACCGGUGGCGAAGGCGGGUCUCUGGGCAGUAACUGACGCUGAGGAGCGAAAGCGUGGGGAGCGAACAGG
rnacentral:rRNA from 1 species